GGGACUUGUUAAGCCUAAAGGCGCAAUGAAAGUGAAGGUCGACCCCAGCGUCGACCGAGGGAGGAUGGCUCGCGUCACGAUGCGAGUCCGCACUCCCGGGGCGUCUCGCGCUCAUUGCGAGCAGAGGCGCACCCAGAGCGUACACGUUGGGACCCGAAAGAUGGUGAACUAUGCCUGGUCAGGACGAAGUCAGGGGAAACCCUGAUGGAGGUCCGUAGCGAUUCUGACGUGCAAAUCGAUCGUCGGAACUGGGUAUAGGGGCGAAAGACUAAUCGAACCAUCUAGUAGCUGGUUCCCUCCGAAGUUUCCCUCAGGAUAGCUGGCACUCGCUUGAGCGAGUCUCAUCUGGUAAAGCGAAUGAUUAGAGGCCUUGGGGCCGAAACGACCUCAACCUAUUCUCAAACUUUAAAUGGGUGAGAUCUCUGGCUUGCUUGAACGUUGAAGCCACGAGAUUAAUUUUUGCAAUGGAUCAGAGUGCCAAGUGGGCCAAUUUUGGUAAGCAGAACUGGCGCUGUGGGA
rnacentral:rRNA from 1 species